rnacentral:rRNA from 1 species
AACGAACGCUGGCGGCAGGCCUAACACAUGCAAGUCGAGCGCGCCCUUCGGGGUGAGCGGCGGACGGGUUAGUAACGCGUGGGAAUAUACCCGACACUAAGGAAUAGCCUCUGGAAACGGAGAGUAAUACCUUAUACGGCCCUUCGGGAAAGAUUUAUCGGUGACGGAUUAGCCCGCGUUAGAUUAGAUAGUUAGGUGGGGGUAAUGGGCCUACCAAGUCUACGAUCUAUAGCUGGUUUUAGAGGAUGAUCAGCAACACUGGGACUGAGACACGGCCCAGACUCCUACGGGAGGCAGCAGUGGGGAAUCUUGGACAAUGGGCGCAAGCCUGAUCCAGCCAUGCCGCGUGAGUGAUGAAAGGCCUUAGGGUCUAAAGCUCUUUCGCCAGAGAUGAUAAUGACAGUAUCUGGUAAA